AUUGAACGCUGUCGGCAGGCCUAACACAUGCAAGUCGGGCGAGCGGCUGACGGGUGAGUAAUGUCUGGGAAACUGCCUGAUGGAUGGGGAUAACUUCUGGAAACGGUAUCUAAUACCGCAUACCCUCAGAUUUGCCCAGAUGGGAUUAGCUAGUCGGUGGGGUAAUGGCUCAACUAGGCGACGAUCCCUAGCUGGUCUGAGAGGAUGACCAGCCACACUGGAACUGAGACACGGGCCAGAUUCCUACGGGAGGCAGCAGUGGGGAAUAUUGCACAAUGGGCGCAAGCCUGAUGCAGCCAUGCCGCGUGUAUGAAGAAGGCCUUCGGGUUGUAAAGUACUUUCAGCGAGGAGGCGUUACUCGCAGAAGAAGCACCGGCUAACUCCGUGCCAGCAGCCGCGGUAAUAC
rnacentral:rRNA from 1 species